rnacentral:rRNA from 1 species
UGGCCAAACUACCCUACAGACAGGAACACCUCGGGAAACUGAGGCUAACACUGAUACGCGUUGACUGUUUGAACACGUCGACGCUCAAACGCUCGGGCGCUGUAGGAUGUGGCUGCGGCCGAUUAGGUAGACGGUGGGGUAACGGCCCACCGUGCCGAUAUCGGUACGGGUUGUGAGAGCAAGAGCCCGGGAGACGGAAUCUGAGACAAGAUUCCGGGCCCUACGGGGCGCAGCAGGCGCGAAACCUUUACACUGCACGCCAGUGCGAUAAGGGGACCCCGAGUGAAAGGGCAUAUCGCCCUUUCUUUUCUGAACCGUAGGGAGGUUCAGGAACAAGAGCUGGGCAAGACCGGUGCCAGCCGCCGCGGUAAUACCGGCAGCUCAAGUGAUGACCGAUUUUAUUGGGCCUAAAGCGUCCGUAGCUGGCCGAGCAAGUUCGUCGGGAAAUCCACCCGCUUAACGGGUGGGCGUCCGGCGAAAACUGUUCGGCUUGGGACAGGAAGGCUCGAGGGGUACGUUCGGGGUAGGAGUGAAAUCCCGUAAUCCUGAACGGACCACCGAUGGCGAAAGCACCUCGAGAGGACUGAUCCGACAGUGAGGGACGAAAGCUGGGGUCUCGAACCGGAUUAGAUACCCGGGUAGUCCCAGCCGUAAACGAUGUUCGCUAGGUGUGACACUCACUACGAGUGAGUGUUGUGCCGCAGGGAAGCCGCUAAGCGAACCGCCUGGGAAGUACGUCCGCAAGGAUGAAACUAAAGGAAUGGCGUGA